GUGCCAGCCGCCGCGGUAAUACGAAGGGUGCAAGCGUUACUCGGAAUUACUGGGGGUAAAGCGUGCGUAGGUGGUUCGUUAAGUCUGAUGUGAAAGCCCUGGGCUCAACCUGGGAAUUGCAUUGGAUACUGGCGAGCUAGAGUGCGGUAGAGGAUGGCGGAAUUCCCGGUGUAGCAGUGAAAUGCGUAGAGAUCGGGAGGAACAUCUGUGGCGAAGGCGGCCAUCUGGACCAGCACUGACACUGAGGUACGAAAGCGUGGGGAGCAAACAGGAUUAGAUACCCUGGUAGUCCACGCCCUAAACGAUGCGAACUGGAUGUUGGGUGCAACUAGGCACUCAGUAUCGAAGCUAACGCGUUAAGUUCGCCGCCUGGCGAGUACGGUCGCAAGACUGAAACUCAAAGGAAUUGGCGG
rnacentral:rRNA from 1 species